GACGAACGCUGGCGGCGUGCUUAACACAUGCAAGUCGAACGGAAAGGCCCUGCUUUUGUGGGGUGCUCGAGUGGCGAACGGGUGAGUAACACGUGAGUAACCUGCCCUUGACUUUGGGAUAACUUCAGGCAACUGGGGCUAAUACCGGAUAGGAGCUCCUGCUGCAUGGUGGGGGUUGGAAAGUUUCGGCGGUUGGGGAUGGACUCGCGGCUUAUCAGCUUGUUGGUGGGGUAGUGGCUUACCAAGGCUUUGACGGGUAGCCGGCCUGAGAGGGUGACCGGCCACAUUGGGACUGAGAUACGGCCCAGAGUCCUACGGGAGGCAGCAGUGGGGAAUAUUGCACAAUGGGCGGAAGCCUGAUGCAGCAACGCCGCGUGCGGGAUGACGGCCUUCGGGUUGUAAACCGCUUUCGCCUGUGACGAAGCGUGAGUGACGGUAAUGGGUAAAGAAGCACCGGCUAACUACGUG
rnacentral:rRNA from 1 species